GUAGCUAUUUUGGGUCGUCAGGUUUGGAAGUUGAGUUCAAAGGAUAUAGCUUCAGUGAAAGUGCAGUGGAGAGGUCGAACCGUGGAUGAGGCUACCUGGGGGCCGAGCAGGAGAUGCGGAGCAGAUAUCCUCACCUGUUUGAGGCUUCAGAUUCGACGCGAGUGGAGGCCAAUUCGAGGGGCAAAGGCAUCACGAGCUAGAGAUUUAGCCAGUUCGAGAUUCAGGCGUAGCUGGUCCUGCUCUCGAGUGCUGAUCAUUGCCAGCUUCAGGCGGAUUCAAGGAGUCUUGAGGUAGCUGUUGGCGUUCGCAGCUCAGAGCUCCUCCUAUGUCUUUUCCUUUAUGUCCUUAGUUCAAUACUAAACUCUGUAGUUACUUUUGGGUAUUCAGUGUUAGAUGCUCGUGACUAGUGACACCCCGGUUAGGGCUGUGUAUGGGUGUUCUUCCGCACUUUUAUGAUAUUAUCUGCUGCUUAGUAUUACUAAACCAUGUUUUAGACUAUUUUUUUUCAUACUGUUUAACUGUUUAACAUCGAAUUGGGAA